rnacentral:misc_RNA from 1 species
GAUGAAGAACGCAGCGAAAUGCGAUAAGUAAUGUGAAUUGCAGAAUUCAGUGAAUCAUCGAAUCUUUGAACGCACAUUGCGCCCCUUGGUAUUCCGAGGGGCAUGCCUGUUCGAGCGUCAUUAUCACCCCUCAAGCUUUGCUUGGUGUUGGGGCCUGCUGUAAUAGGCAGCCCUUAAAAUCAGUGGCGGUGCUUCAAGGCUCUAAGCGUAGUAAUUCUCCUCGCUAUAGUGUCUAGUGGUUGCCAGCCAGAACCCCCCAAUUUUCAUGAUUGACCUCGGAUCAGGUAGGGAUACCCGCUGAACUUAAGCAUAUCAAUAAGCGGAGA